GGACACAGUCUACACGGACUUUGACGGAACCCGAGUGUACAGUCCUCCAGAGUGGAUUCGCUACCUAAGACAGAAAGGCAGUUCCGGUGUGGUGUGCCUUCCGGAUCCUCUCUGGGGUUGUGCUUUGAGCAGCGUGUAGCCCGCUGGUUUUUCUCUGAGAGAUACUGUACAGGGGAAUAAAAGAGAUCUUAUUUUUUUUUUUUAUACUUGGCAUUUUUUGAAUAAAAAAACCUUUUGUCUU
rnacentral:lncRNA from 1 species